rnacentral:rRNA from 1 species
UAACUAGUCGAAAGAUUAGCUAAUACCGAAUAAUAACAUCAAUAUCGCAUGAGAAGAUGUAGAAAGUCGCUCUUUGUGGCGACGCUUUUGGAUGAGGGUGCGACGUAUCAGAUAGUUGGUGAGGUAAUGGCUCACCAAGUCAAUGACGCGUAGCUGUACUGAGAGGUAGAACAGCCACAAUGGGACUGAGACACGGCCCAUACUCCUACGGGAGGCAGCAGCA